AAAAAAAACAUGUCACAUAUGGGCCCAAAGCCCAUCUACAAAAAGAAAAUCUUAAUCAAAUAAUAUUAAAACAAAAUUUAAAAAUUAGUGAGGAAAAAGAGAAUGCAAUUGUUGAGUGGAUGAAAUUGUUGGUUGUUGAUGCGUGUAAGAGUGGAAGGUGCACAUUUUUUAUUGUUGUGGUUGUCGGUUUUCACGCGGAGGAGAAGCAGAUCCGGAACAAAGUGGUUGUUAGGUUGUUGCAGCGGUUGUGUUUUUGCUUGAGUCAUGCUUGUUGUUGUUGUUGUUUGAGUGAACAUGAGAUGGUUGGGAAGCGUUGUUGUUUAUAAGUGUUAUUGUGGAAGCGUGUGGGGAGUUGUU
rnacentral:lncRNA from 1 species